GAGUUUGAUCGUGGCUCAGGAUGAACGCUGGCGGCGUGCCUAAUACAUGCAAGUCGAACGAACAGAUAAGGAGCUUGCUCCUUUGACGUUAGCGGCGGACGGGUGAGUAACACGUGGGUAACCUACCUAUAAGACUGGAAUAACUCCGGGAAACCGGGGCUAAUGCCGGAUAACAUGUUGAACCGCAUGGUUCUACAGUGAAAGACGGUCUUGCUGUCACUUAUAGAUGGACCCGCGCCGUAUUAGCUAGUUGGUGGGUAACGGCCUACCAAGGCGACGAUACGUAGCCGACCUGAGAGGGUGAUCGGCCACACUGGAACUGAGACACGGUCCAGACUCCUACGGGAGGCAGCAGUAGGGAAUCUUCCGCAAUGGGCGAAAGCCUGACGGAGCAACGCCGCGUGAGUGAUGAGGGUCUUCGGAUCGUAAAGCUCUGUUGUUAGGAAGAACAAAUGUGUAAGUAACUGUGCAUAUCUUGACGGUACCUAACCAGAAAGCCACGGCUAACUACGUGCCAGCAGCCGCCGU
rnacentral:rRNA from 1 species